CUUUGAUCAUGGCUCAGGAUGAACGCUAGCUACAGGCUUAACACAUGCAAGUCGAGGGGCAGCGGGAUUGAAGCUUGCUUCAAUUGCCGGCGACCGGCGCACGGGUGAGUAACGCGUAUCCAACCUUCCGUACACUCAGGGAUAGCCUUUCGAAAGAAAGAUUAAUACCUGAUGGUAUGAUGAGAUUGCAUGAUAGCAUCAUUAAAGAUUUAUCGGUGUACGAUGGGGAUGCGUUCCAUUAGGUAGUAGGCGGGGUAACGGCCCACCUAGCCAACGAUGGAUAGGGGUUCUGAGAGGAAGGUCCCCCACAUUGGAACUGAGACACGGUCCAAACUCCUACGGGAGGCAGCGGUGAGGAAUAUUGGUCAAUGGACGAGAGCCUGAACCAGCCAAGUAGCGUGAAGGAUGAAGGUCCUACGGAUUGUAAACUUCUUUUAUAAGGGAAUAAACCCUCCCACGUGUGGGAGCUUGUAUGUACCUUAUGAAUAAGCAUCGGCUAACUCCGUGCCAGCAGCCGCGGUAAUACGGAGGAUGCGAGCGUUAUCCGGAUUUAUUGGGUUUAAAGGGAGCGCAGACGGGUCGUUAAGUCAGCUGUGAAAGUUUGGGGCUCAACCUUAAAAUUGCAGUUGGUACUGGCGUCCUUGAGUGCGGUUGAGGUGUGCGGAAUUCGUGGUGUAGCGGUGAAAUGCUUAGAUAUCACGAAGAGCUCCGAUUGCGAAGGCAGCACACUAAUCCGUAACUGACGUUCAUGCUCGAAAGUGUGGGUAUCAAACAGGAUUAGAUACCCUGGUAGUCCACACGGUAAACGAUGGAUACUCGCUGUUGGCGAUAUACUGUCAGCGGCUUAGCGAAAGCGUUAAGUAUCCCACCUGGGGAGUACGCCGGCAACGGUGCAACUCAAAUGAAUUGACGGA
rnacentral:rRNA from 2 species